rnacentral:rRNA from 1 species
UACGUAGGGUGCGAGCGUUGUCCGGAAUUAUUGGGCGUAAAGAGCUCGUAGGCGGCUUGUCGCGUCGCUGUGAAAACCCGCGGCUCAACUGUGGGCGGGCAGCUGAUACGGGCAGGCUGGAGUUCGGUAGGGGAGACUGGAAUUCCUGGUGUAGCGGUGAAAUGCGCAGAUAUCAGGAGGAACACCGGUGGCGAAGGCGGGUCUCUGGGCCGACACUGACGCUGACAGCGCGAAAAGCCUAGGGGGAGCGAACGGG